rfam:Pseudomonas cichorii JBC1, complete genome.
GCCCCGAUGGCGAAAUUGGUAGACGCAAGGGACUUAAAAUCCCUCGUCCUCUGGACGUGCCGGUUCGACCCCGGCUCGGGGCA